rnacentral:misc_RNA from 1 species
UCACAAGCAUAAGGUUCAGUGGUAAAGAAUUCACUAUUUAGAGCACUAGUGGCAGUGCCACGAUUAUCAGGGUCAACUGAAAGAAGAGUUUCGAUUAAGGUCAGAGAACAAGGAGGGAAAUCCUUGAAGGUUUCAGCUAUACAGCUUUUGUAUGGCUGCUGAGGUUUAAAAAGCGUUGCAUUAGGCAGUUUUGAUUUCUUCCAGUAUUCCUCUGACGGGGAGCCACAUAACUUAAAUAUCUUGUGCAGUUGUUCAACCUCUGUUCGUCCUGGCAUUAUUGGCUUCCCAGCAAGUAGCUCUGCCAAAAUACAGCCAGCACUCCAAAGGUCGACACCAACACCAUAAUAAGUAGCCCCAAGAAGAAGCUCAGGAGGACGGUACCAGAGGGUGACAACUCGACUGGUCAUAGGAACCCUUCGCUGAGGGUCAAAGAAAGUAGCCAGCCCAAAAUCAGCAAUUUUUAGAACUCCUUCAUUGUCAAUAAGCAGAUUGGAACCCUUGAUAUCACGGUGCAAGACACCUCGACUGUGGCAAUGCUCAAGGCCACAUAGAAGUUGUUUCAUGUAGCAUUUGACCUGAGCCUCAGUAAACUUGACUUCAUGGCGAGCUGCUAGCCCAGCGAGAUCAUGGUCCAUGUAUUCAAACACCAAAUAAAGGCUACAUGACAUUCUUGAGGUAACCAAACCCUCAAGCUUAAGCACAUUGGGGUGAUCUAAU